rnacentral:rRNA from 1 species
UACGAAGGGGGCUAGCGUUGCUCGGAAUCACUGGGCGUAAAGGGCGCGUAGGCGGCGUUUUAAGUCGGGGGUGAAAGCCUGUGGCUCAACCACAGAAUGGCCUUCGAUACUGGGACGCUUGAGUAUGGUAGAGGUUGGUGGAACUGCGAGUGUAGAGGUGAAAUUCGUAGAUAUUCGCAAGAACACCGGUGGCGAAGGCGGCCAACUGGACCACUACUGACGCUGAGAAGCGAAAGCAUGGGGAGCGGACAGG